rnacentral:lncRNA from 1 species
ACGCCUAACUGCUGCUGUGCCACGGUCUGCGCCCCCCGGGUUCUCGCUGCUGCAGUGGAGUCGGAGGACGGCUCGGCGCUGCACGGAGGGGUACGGCUCCGCAGCCCCCCCGUCCGCUGCCGCACCGGGGCUGCCGCCCGCCGUCGCCCCCAUCCACGGUUCCCCGGCCCCGGGGCCGCCCCGCACACGGGGGGCGGGGAGCGCUCCGCAGCCCGAGAGGCGGCGGGGAGGGCGCGGAGCGGGGCUCCCUUUGCGGCACCCCGGCCCCGCGGUCUCCUCUCGGGCCGGAGGGGGUCGGAUAGAAGAGCGGGGGUCCCCCGGGCCGCCCUCGGGGAAAGGAAGGGGGGGAGGGGGGUGCGGCGGGAGCGGCGGCGGCCCCCUCCCCCUCCCGGCUCCAAGGACAUUUUGUUUUUCCUCCCAAGGACAAAGGACAAUGAGGAGCGGGGCGGCUCGGGCACUUACCGGCAACUGCAGCCCGCUGCCAGCCGACGAGGGCCCCGAGGACGGGGCGCCGCUGCCCUCCUCGCCCUGCCGGCGCCCGGGGGACGGCUCCGCGCCCGCCCGCCGAGGGCGAGGCUCGGGCAGGGCUCGGCAGCCCGGCGCCAUUGCCCUUCGCCCGUCGCAGCCCUUCGGCGGCUCUCCUGGCCGCGCUCCGUCGCGCCCAGAGACCCCGCAGCGCCGGGCCCGACGUGGCCGCUGAGCCCGGCACCCGGAGCGCCCGUCGGACCCCCCCGUUCCGAGCGGCGGGGAAAGCGCCCGGGAGCCGGGCGGCGGCGGCGGCUGCUUCCCCGGCCAUCUUGUGCCGUGUGUGUGAGGGAGUCUCUCCCGUCUCCUCUCAACUCCUUCCUCCCCUCCCCCCCGCACAACAUGGCCGCCCGCUCGCUACUCACUGCGGCGAGGAAGGGGCGGGGCCGCACCCCUGCCCCCUACCUACGGCGCGCAGCGCCCCCCCCCCCCCCCCCCCCCCCCCCCCCUUCGACUCCGCGUGCGCAGCGCGCCACUCUUCAUUGGCCGCGCCGCGCCCUCCCCGCCGGGACCGAGGGCGCGCACCGCUCCUAUUGGCCGCGCCGCGCCCUCCUUCGACCUCCCCACUCCGGACCCGCGCGCACCCCAGCCGCCGCCUCCCAUUGGCCGCGCGCACCGCCGCUCCCCGCCCCACAGGCCGCCGGCCGCUGUCCAUUGGCUCCUGCCCGCCUCCUCGCGCCCGCCCCGCUCGCCGCGGGCUCGCGCCCGUCCGCCCAGGCCUCCCCUCAGGGGGAAGGAGGCGGCGGGAGCCGGCUCUCAGAGCCCACCCCGGUGGCGGCCCCGGCCCCACCUGGCCGGGGCAUCCCCGGCUCCACCCAGCCUCGGCCCCGCUUGAGCUGGGCACCGCCUCUCCCCCAGACGGGGCUUCUACAGUCCUCUCAGGCGCUCUCGAAGUGCCUCAACUCUCAUUCGUCCUUGACGCAGGACAGCCUGCUUGUGCCUUUCCACUAG